rnacentral:rRNA from 1 species
AGAUUGAACGCUGGCGGCAUGCCUUACACAUGCAAGUCGAACGGCAGCACGGGAGCUUGCUCCUGGUGGCGAGUGGCGAACGGGUGAGUAAUACAUCGGAACGUACCCUGAAGUGGGGGAUAACGUAGCGAAAGUUACGCUAAUACCGCAUAUUCUGUGAGCAGGAAAGAGGGGGAUCGCAAGACCUCUUGCUUUAGGAGCGGCCGAUGUCGGAUUAGCUAGUUGGUGAGGUAAAGGCUCACCAAGGCGACGAUCCGUAGCGGGUCUGAGAGGAUGAUCCGCCACACUGGGACUGAGACACGGCCCAGACUCCUACGGGAGGCAGCAGUGGGGAAUUUUGGACAAUGGGCGCAAGCCUGAUCCAGCCAUGCCGCGUGAGUGAAGAAGGCCUUCGGGUUGUAAAGCUCUUUCGGUGGGGAAGAAAUUGCUUCGGUUAAUACCUGGAGUAGAUGACGGUACCCGCAUAAGAAGCACCGGCUAACUACGUG